CACGCAGGCUGAAUUAUAAGUCGGUAGUAAAAGGCGGGGGCUCAACUUCCGUAUAUCUAUCGAUACUGUAAAUCUAGAGUAUGUGAGAGGGAAGCGGAAUUCCCAGUGUAGCGGUGAAAUGCGUAGAUAUCGGGAGGAACACCAGUGGCGAAGGCGGCUUCCUGGCACAAUACUGACGCUCAUGUGCGAAAGCUAGGGCAGCGAACG
rnacentral:rRNA from 1 species